UACGGGGGGGGCAAGCGUUGUUCGGAAUUACUGGGCGUAAAGGGCUCGUAGGCGGCCAACUAAGUCACACGUGAAAUACCUCGGCUCAACCGAGGAACUGCGUCCGAUACUGCUUGGCUUGAGGUCCGGAGGGGAGAGUGGAAUUCCCGGUGGAGCGGUGAAAUGCGUAGAGAUCGGGAAGAACGCCGGCGGCGAAAGCGACUCUCUGGUCGGAAUCUGACGCUGAGGUGCGAAAGCUAGGGGAGCAAACGGG
rnacentral:rRNA from 1 species